UACAGAGGGGGCAAGCGUUAUUCGGAAUUAUUGGGCGUAAAGGGCUCGUAGGCGGCCAACUAAGUCAGACGUGAAAUCCCUCGGCUUAACCGGGGAACUGCGUCUGAUACUGGAUGGCUUGAGAUUGGGAGAGGGAUGCGGAAUUCCGGGUGUAGCGGUGAAAUGCGUAGAUAUCUGGAGGAACACCGGUGGCGAAGGCGGCAUCCUGGACCAACACUGACGCUGAGGAGCGAAAGCCAGGGGAGCAAACGGG
rnacentral:rRNA from 1 species